rnacentral:lncRNA from 1 species
AGGGGGGCUAUAGGGUGAUAUAGGGAGAUAAGGGAAAGAUAUGGGGCAAUAGGGGCAACGCAAGGGAAAUGGAAGGGAUAUAGAGCAAUAUGAGGAAGAUACGGGGUGAUAUGGGGGGGCUAUGGGGCUGGAGGGCACCAGAGGGAUGUUAUGGAGCCCAGGAAGUCAUUGGGAUUUUAGAAGUCCCCAAGAGGUUUUGAAGGGUCUCCAGGAGGUUUGGUGGACUCCCAGGAGGUUUGGGGGCUCCUGGGGUCCCUGGGAAGUUUUGAAGGGUCCCCAGGGGGUUUGGUGGACUCCCAGGAGAUUUGGGGGCUCCCCAGGAGGUUUGGGGGGCUCCCGGGAGGGCUUCGGGGGUCACGCACCGUCCAUGGAGUGGAGGGACUCGAAGGCGACGAUCUUGGGCAGCCCGGGGGGGCUGCGGGCCAGCAGCUGGGCCAGGUGCUGAGGGUCGUUGUGGCGGAAGACGUGCUUGGGGACGCCGCUGGCCCGGAUGCCCUGGAUCAUGGACGCGUGGUUGCCCGCGUCCGAGAAGAUCUCGCAGCCUGCGGCCAAGGGGGGGACAGACGGAGCGUGAGGCGCGGGGCCCCGGCGUCCGGGCGGGCAUGCGUGCGGGCGGGCGUCCCCGCGUACCUGGCAGCAGGCGGGCGAGCGUGGCCAGCGCCGUGUCGUUGGCGGCGAAGCAGGAGGAGAAGAGCAGGGCACGGGGCUGGCGAUGCAGCCGGGCCAGCGCUGCCUCCAGCGCCCCGUGCAGCGGCGACGUCCCG